UUGGACAUGAUACGCAGGUUUGAUUCAAGUUCGUCAAAACUGUCACUUUAUUGUCCAAAGAGUGAAAGUGCCUUCUGAUGACCAUGCUAUUUGCAGACCCUUGGUAUGGACAGAUACGGGGCAAAUAAUA
rnacentral:snoRNA from 1 species